rnacentral:rRNA from 1 species
UACGUAGGGGGCUAGCGUUGUCCGGAAUCAUUGGGCUUAAAGGGCGCGUAGGCGGCGGUGUAAGUUGGAAGUGAAAUCCCAUCGGCUCAACCGUGGAAUUGCUCCCAGUACUGCACUGCUCGAGGGGAUAGGGUCUGGCGGAACUACCGGUGGAGCGGUGAAAUGUGUUGAUAUCGGUGGGAACGCCAGUGGCGAAAGCGGCAGACUUGACCCUUCCUGACGCUGCAGCGCGAAAGCUAGGGGAGCAAACGGGG